GGUUAAUAUUCCUGUACUUGGUGUUACUGCGAAGGGGGGACGGAGAAGGCUAUGUUAGCCGGGCGACGGUUGUCCCGGUUUAAGCAUGUAGGCUGAUUGUCCAGGCAAAUCCGGAUAAUCAAGGCUGAGGUGUGAUGACGAGGCACUACGGUGCUGAAGUAACAAAUGCCCUGCUUCCAGGAAAAGCCUCUAAGCAUCAGGUAACAUUAAAUCGUACCCCAAACCGACACAGGUGGUCAGGUAGAGAAUACCAAGGCGCUUGAGAGAACUCGGGUGAAGGAACUAGGCAAAAUGGUGCCGUAACUUCGGGAGAAGGCACGCUGGUGUGUAGGUGAAGUCCCUGCGGAUGGAGCUGAGACCAGUCGAAGAUACCAGCUGGCUGCAACUGUUUAUUAAAAACACAGCACUGUGCAAACACGAAAGUGGACGUAUACGGUGUGACGCCUGCCCGGUGCCGGAAGGUUAAUUGAUGGGGUUAUCCGUAAGGAGAAGCUCUUGAUCGAAGCCCCGGUAAACGGCGGCCGUAACUAUAACGGUCCUAAGGUAGCGAAAUUCCUUGUCGGGUAAGUUCCGACCUGCACGAAUGGCGUAAUGAUGGCCAGGCUGUCUCCACCCGAGACUCAGUGAAAUUGAACUCGCUGUGAAGAUGCAGUGUACCCGCGGCAAGACGGAAAGACCCCGUGAACCUUUACUAUAGCUUGACACUGAACAUUGAGCCUUGAUGUGUAGGAUAGGUGGGAGGCUUUGAAGCGUGGACGCCAGUCUGCGUGGAGCCAACCUUGAAAUACCACCCUUUAAUGUUUGAUGUUCUAACGUUGGCCCCUGACCGGGGUUGCGGACAGUGUCUGGUGGGUAGUUUGACUGGGGCGGUCUCCUCCCAAAGCGUAACGGAGGAGCACGAAGGUUAGCUAAUCCUGGUCGGACAUCAGGAGGUUAGUGCAAUGGCAUAAGCUAGCUUGACUGCGAGCGUGACGGCGCGAGCAGGUGCGAAAGCAGGUCAUAGUGAUCCGGUGGUUCUGAAUGGAAGGGCCAUCGCUCAACGGAUAAAAGGUACUCCGGGGAUAACAGGCUGAUACCGCCCAAGAGUUCAUAUCGACGGCGGUGUUUGGCACCUCGAUGUCGGCUCAUCACAUCCUGGGGCUGAAGUAGGUCCCAAGGGUAUGGCUGUUCGCCAUUUAAAGUGGUACGCGAGCUGGGUUUAGAACGUCGUGAGACAGUUCGGUCCCUAUCUGCCGUGGGCGCUGGAGAAUUGAGGGGGGCUGCUCCUAGUACGAGAGGACCGGAGUGGACGCAUCACUGGUGUUCGGGUUGUCAUGCCAAUGGCACUGCCCGGUAGCUAAAUGCGGAAGAGAUAAGUGCUGAAAGCAUCUAAGCACGAAACUUGCCCCGAGAUGAGUUCUCCCUGAGACUUUAAGUCUCCUGAAGGAACGUUAAAGACGAUGACGUUGAUAGGCCGGGUGUGUAAGCGCAGCGAUGCGUUGAGCUAACCGGUACUAAUGAACCGUGAGGCUUAACCUU
rnacentral:rRNA from 3 species